CCGACUGCUAUUUGGGUGAGGAUAAGCCAUGCGAGUUGAAUGGGAUACCUAAAGUUCCCAUGGCAAACUGCUCAGUAACACAUGAUCAACUUGCCCUAUAGAGAAAACUAACCUCGGGAAACUGAGGAUAAUGUUUCAUAGCUGAAUUGGCUUGGAAAAGUUUUUCAGUAAAAGGGAUAAAAAAAAUGGUUUUUAUCUGCUAUAGGAUAGGAUCGUGUUCGAUUAUGGUUGUUGGUGAGGUAAUGGCUCACCAAGCCGAUAAUCGAUAGGGGCCGUGAGAGCGGGAGCCCCGAGAUGGGUACUGAGACAACGACCCAGGCCUUACGAGGCGCAGCAGGCGCGAAACCUCCGCAAUACACGAAAGUGUGACGGGGUUACCCAAAGUGUUCAAUUUUGAACUGUGGUAGGUGAGUAAUGUUCCCUACUAGAAAGGAGAGGGCAAGGCUGGUGCCAGCCGCCGCGGUAAAACCAGCUCUUCAAGUGGUCGGGAUAAUUAUUGGGCUUAAAGUGUCCGUAGCCGGUUUAGUAAGUUCCUGGUAAAAUCGGGUAGCUUAACUAUCUAUAUGCUAGGAAUACUACUAUACUAGAGGGCGGGAGAGGUCUGAGGUACUACAGGGGUAGGGGUGAAAUCUUAUAAUCCUUGUAGGACCACCAGUGGCGAAGGCGUCAGACUGGAACGCGCCUGACGGUGAGGGACGAAAGCCAGGGGAGCGAACCGGAUUAGAUACCCGGGUAGUCCUGGCCGUAAACGAUGCAUACUAGGUGAUGGCACGGCCAUGAGCCGUGUCAGUGCCGUAGGGAAACCGUUAAGUGUGCCGCCUGGGAAGUACGGUCGCAAGGCUAA
rnacentral:rRNA from 1 species